CCUACGGGAGGCAGCAGUGGGGAAUAUUGGGCAAUGGAGGCAACUCUGACCCAGCAACGCCGCGUGAAUGAUGAAGGUCUUCGGAUUGUAAAGUUCUGUGAUGGGGGAUGAACACAAUGACGGUACCCCAAUAGCAAGCCACGGCUAACUACGUGCCAGCAGCCGCGGUAAUACGGAGGUGGCAAGCGUUAUCCGGAAUGACUGGGCGUAAAGGGUGCGUAGGUGGUUUAGGAAGUUGGCGGUGUAAUUCCGGGGCUCAACCUCGGCGCUACCGCCAAAACUAUUAGACUAGAGUGCAGGAGGGGUAAGUGGAAUUCCUAGUGUAGCGGUGGAAUGCGUAGAUAUUAGGAGGAACAUCAGGGGCGAAGGCGACUUACUGGACUGUGACUGACACUGAGGCACGAAAGCGUGGGGAGCAAACAGGAUUAGAUACCCGGGUAGUC
rnacentral:rRNA from 1 species